GGCAGUGAUGCAUGCGACAGCUC
rnacentral:rRNA from 1 species